GGUUCACGAUAAUAGAUCCAAAGGCUUGUUUCUCAAAACAUUCGCAGUUGCCGACUAAGUGCUUUCGCCUUCGCCAGGCUUGAGAGUAUAUGCCUGCUUUUAUCCUUCCUUGGAAGUCUGAGGCC
rnacentral:snoRNA from 1 species